GGAUGCGAUCAUAGCAGCACUAAAGCACCGGAUCCCAUCAGAACUCUGAAGUUAAGCGUGCUUGGGCGAGGGUAUUACUAGGAUGGGUGACCUCCUGGGAAGUCCUCGUGUUGCAUUCC
rfam:Triticum aestivum genome assembly, contig: Triticum_aestivum_CS42_TGACv1_scaffold_092551_1DS